rnacentral:rRNA from 1 species
CAGCAGCCACGGUAACACGUAGGUGGCAAGCGUUGUCCGGAAUUAUUGGGCGUAAAGGGCUCGCAGGCGGUUUCUUAAGUCUGAUGUGAAAGCCCCCGGCUCAACCGGGGAGGGUCAUUGGAAACUGGGAAACUUGAGUGCAGAAGAGGAGAGUGGAAUUCCACGUGUAGCGGUGAAAUGCGUAGAGAUGUGGAGGAACACCAGUGGCGAAGGCGACUCUCUGGUCUGUAACUGACGCUGGGGAGCGAAAGCGUGGGGAGCGGACAGGAUUAGAUACCCGGGUAGUCCCUGUCUCUUAUAC